UCCUACGGUCAUGCUACCCUGAACAAACCAGAUCCCAUCUGAUCUUGGAAGCUAAGCAUGGUCAGGCCUGGUUAGUAUUUGGAUGGGAGACCACCUAGGAAGACCAGAUGCUGCAGGCG
ensembl:rRNA 5S_rRNA 5S ribosomal RNA